ACUGAGACCCCGCUUCCAGGAAAAGCCUCUAAGCUUCAGUUGCAUGAAGACCGUACCGCAAACCGACACAGGUGGGCAGGAUGAAGAUUCUAAGGCGCUUGAGAGAACUCAGGAGAAGGAACUCGGCAAAUUAGCACCGUAACUUCGGGAGAAGGUGCGCCCCGGUAGUGUGUAGCGGCUUGCCCGUGAAGCACGAUGGGGUUGCAGUGAAUUGGUGGCUGCGACUGUUUAAUAAAAACACAGCACUCUGCAAACACGAAAGUGGACGUAUAGGGUGUGACGCCUGCCCGGUGCCGGAAGGUUAAGUGAUGGGGUGCAAGCUCUUGAUCGAAGCCCCGGUAAACGGCGGCCGUAACUAUAACGGUCCUAAGGUAGCGAAAUUCCUUGUCGGGUAAGUUCCGACCUGCACGAAUGGCGUAACGAUGGCCACACUGUCUCCUCCUGAGACUCAGCGAAGUUGAAGUGGUUGUGAAGAUGCAAUCUACCCGCUGCUAGACGGAAAGACCCCAUGCACCUUUACUGUAGCUUUGCAUUGGACUUUGAUGAGACUUGUGUAGGAUAGGUGGGAGGCUUUGAAGGCGGGAUGCUAGUUCCGCUGGAGCCGUCCUUGAAAUACCACCCUGGUGUCAUUGAGGUCCUAACCUAGAUCCAUUAUCUGGAUCGGGGACCGUGCAUGGCAGGCAGUUUGACUGGGGCGGUCUCCUCCCAAAGGGUAACGGAGGAGUUCGAAGGUUCGCUAGGUACGGUCGGACAUCGUACUGAUAGUGCAUUGGCAAAAGCGAGCUUGACUGCGAGACGGACAUGUCGAGCAGGUGCGAAAGCAGGACAAAGUGAUCCGGUGGUUCUGUAUGGAAGGGCCAUCGCUCAACGGAUAAAAGGUACGCUGGGGAUAAUAGGCUGAUGACUCCCAAGAGUUCAUAUCGACGGAGUCGUUUGGCACCUCGAUGUCGGCUCAUCACAUCCUGGGGCUGUAGCCGGUCCCAAGGGUAUGGCUGUUCGCCAUUUAAAGUGGUACGUGAGCUGGGUUUAAAACGUCGUGAGACUGUUUGGUCCCUAUCUGCAGUGGGCGUUGGAGAUUUGACGGGGGCUGCUCCUAGUACGAGAGGACCGGAGUGGACGCACCCCUGGUGUACCGGUUGUGACGCCAGUCGCAUCGCCGGGUAGCUAUGUGCGGAAGAGAUAACCGCUGAAAGCAUCUAAGCGGGAAACUUGCCUGAAGAUGAGAUCUCCCGGAGGCUUGACCUCCCUGAAGGGUCGUGGAAGACCACCACGUUGAUAGGCCGG
rnacentral:rRNA from 1 species